rnacentral:rRNA from 1 species
UGAGCAACCUACCGAACUGUGGGGGAUAGCCGGCCUAACGGCCGAGUAAUACCGCAUACGCUCUCAGUGAGGCAUUUCAUUGAGAGGAAACCUACGGGACAGAUCGAGGGGCUCGCGGCCUAUCAGCUAGUUGGCGAGGUAACGGCUCACCAAGGCAACGACGGGUAGCUGGUCUGAGAGGAUGGCCAGCCACAUUGGGACUGAGAUACGGCCCAGACUCCGUAGG